CCAAGAUCGCUAUAUAUAUAUAUAUAUAUAUAUAUAUAUAUGUGCAUGUAUAGUUGAGCUACUAUCAAUAGUAGCAACCACUGAACCCUAAACUCUGGACCCUAGACCCUAUUGAUCCAAGGGUCAAAAAGUUGGUCGCUGCCACCACUUUGCUACUAUCAAUAGUAUUUUCGCCCCACUAUAAAUAUAUACAUCUAUACAAAUUUUCUUUCUGUUAUGUGUUACUCUUUUGGGUAAACUUCAAAUACCAUCCCUGUGGUUUCGCACUUUCUCACUUUGGUACUAUGUGGUUUAAAGUUGAGCUACUAUCAAUAGUAGCAACCACUAAACCCUAAACUCUGGACCCUAGACCCUAUUGAUCCAAGGGUCAAAAGUUGGUCGCAGCCACCACUUUGCUACUAUCAAUAGUAUUUUAGCCCCACUAUAAAUAUAUACAUCUAUAUAAAUUCUCUUUCUGUCAUGUGUUACUCAUUUGGGUAAACUUCAAAUACCAUCCCUGUGGUUUCACACUUUCUCACUUUGGUACUAUGUGGUUUAAAGUGUAUUAAUUUAGUACCUUGUGGUUCGAUUUUUCUCUUUUUGCCAGCUCCCCCGUUAACAUUUUGUUACAUUAUAUACAAAAUAUGCUUUCUUACAAAUUUUUUUUCUUUCUUUUCCUUGGAGGCGAUGAUGAUAAACACCGCAUCACUGCAAUUUUGUGAGAAGAUAUGCUAUUCUCAUGCAAUGCCAUUCUCUUUCUUUCUUUCUUUCUUUCUUUUUCUUUCCAUAUGUGUGCAUGUACACACACACACACACACACAUUCAUAUAUAUAUAUAUAUAUAUACAUCUAUUUCUUGCACCCGGCUCACCACAUUUGUUUACGACCCAAUGAAAUGCUUGUUUCUUUGGUGAUGUUGGCUGGGCAGCUGGAUGGCCUUCAACCGUGCAGGCAAUGGCUGCAGCUACAUCUCCAGUGUUAGACUGGUGUAUAUGAUUAAUUUUUCCUUUGGUGUUAAAUCUGAGCCUCCGUUAAUCUUUUGCACCUCCAUUGUUUUUCUAUCAACAUUACGAGUUCUUGAACUUUUAGUCAAGUUUCAUUUUGGUCCUCAAACUAGCUGUUGCUCUUCUGGGCCGAUGACCCUCUCCCUCUAUUUAUUCGCCUGGUCUUUCUCUCGGGGAGAAAUGGUUACCUGGCAUCAUGUCAAACGGAUUAGCUGUCGAAUACCAAUUCUAUUUGGAAUAACUGUGACAGAGAAUACUCUUUACAAGAAAUUUGUUGCUUCCACCUGGUGCACUACAUCAACCGUGUUAACAGGACUUGUGGAUGGCCUGGUGCUGUGCAGGCAACACCUGCAACUACUUGCUAAGAGGUGGUCUUGGUUAUAUUUCUGCUGAUAAAGACAGCCAUGGGGGUUUAUUUUGGCAAACAAGAGUCCAUUUUCUUCUCCUCCCACCCUUUUUUCUAUUAAUUUUUUGUUUUUAAAAGAAAACAUUGAAGUCUAUACUCUCUUUCUUAAGGCAUAAAUUGCACUGUUGGUCCUUGAACUUUUGGCCGAAGUUUCAUUUUGGUCCUGGUAAGUAAGCAGCUGCUCUUUCAGUUUCUCUCUCUCUCCCUCUCUCUCUCUCUCUCUCUCUCUCUCUCAGUUAUUACCUGGACUCAUAUAUACCUGUUGUUCUUAAUAUCUUAGACAGGAGUAGGCGGGGCAACUGGAUGGCCUGCUGCUAUGCAGGCAACAGCUGCAGCUACUGUCUAGGAGGGAAAUUGCAUUGUUAGUUCUCAAACUUCGAGUCAAGUUUCAUUUUGGUUUUGGUAGGAGCUGCUGUUCUUCCGGGCUGGCUCUCUCUCUCUCUCUCUCAAACAAUCUCAAGAUAGCUUUUCGUAAUUUUCUGAGGGGUAAAUCUCAUAGGACUUUCCUAACCUUUUACCGAAGUUUCAACGAAGUUUCAAGUGAGUCCCUAAUCUUCUAAUUGGUGUAUUGAGGUCCUUAAACUGUUUCCCGAGUUUCAAUUGAGUCUCUCUUUUCCUCUCCUCUCUUUCUCUAGUAUUUAAUAAUGUGCCUCUUACUCGUGCCCAAACUACUUAGCCUUAGGGAAUGGUCAUGAAGACUAUGACAUACAACCUUCGUAUAUGCCUAAGCAGCGCACAUGAUGAUGAUUGUGUGGAUUGCACAAUCAGACAUACUAUAUGGAAAAACCAAGUUAAUAUGAUUGAGGCUAUAGAGAUACCUUUCUUUCCUCUGUUACUUCUUUAACAACUUUGGCAGCACAGGUUUUAGUUGUGAUAAGGGAGACGAGGAACUUCUGCCCCUCCUUUUCUUGUCUUCCUGUGCUACAAUUUUCUUGUGGAGUUGAAAACAUUUCUCUUCUAUUUUGCUCUAUUAUUCGGUUGUGUUUUUCCUCUGAUUUUUUUUUUUUUUCGUUUUCCAUUUUUCCAUUUGAUUCCCCCUUUUCACAUUGAAUAGUUUAAUGAAGGGUAAAUUACACUUUUGGUCCUCAAACUAUGAGACGCGUGACACUUUGGUACUUAUUUAUGAACUUCGGAAAUGGUUCGGUACUUAUUCGAUGGACCUCUUACAUGUCCACAUAUUAUAGGCCAAAAAACAACUGCCUGUAAGGGCAACUCUCUUUGUGACCUGUAGCAGUACUCUCUCUCAAAUGAAGAGUUCUGUACACAUUGUGCAGUGCAACUUUAUUCCAAUAGAGUUAUAUAUAUGUGGCACUGAUAAUAUGAUUGUUUGACUUGUUAGCCGAGUUUCUGGUGACUUUCUGAGGUACUCUAAAUAAUGCUCCGCCUUAGUAGAUGCGAGACAGCCCUUCGGCUCGAAGGGAGAUAAUUGAGGCCGACGAAAAGAAUUAACCGUCGGCUUAAUGCCCUCUGUUCUUGUUCUUGUUCUUGUUCUUGUUCUUCUCUCUCUCUCUCUCUCUCUCUCUCUCUCUACAUUUAUCUAUAUUUAUACCUAUAUGUGUAUAUUUGUUUAGGGACAAUUGCCUAUAUACUUCUGAGCACAUUCCUACUUUCAUAUAUAGCCCUCAAAAACAUGUAUGCUGAAAUGUACCCUUCUAACAAUCCAAAUUCUUUUCAAUAAACCCUCAAAGCAGGGGUAUCUGAGAAAACGAGGUCAAAGAUAAAACUCUGUAAUUUUUCAAGUUUGCAGAGGCAAUUCUGCCAUUUGUGUAUAUGUUUUGUAUGUAUGUGUAUAUUGCUUUCCGUGAGGCAAUGAAGGUGAUCACAUCCUCGCGGCUGCAAAUGUUGUGGGUAUUGACUUUCGGAAAUACUGGUCUAUUGACUGCGUUCCAUGCAAUAAUUUCUCCUAUAGUUGAGGGGGUCUCUGUAUGUUUUAACCUAUAAUUCUUUAACUAUUUUGUCCCUUUUGCCUCGUGAAAAUCACAUCUUCUGGCCUAAGUGGGCUAACUCCAAUUAAACAUGUCUCUAGAUGUUUGCUGGCUGGAUUAGAAUGCUAUCAAUAUGCAUCUGCUCUUCAAUGGUGAUGACUCUCUCUCUCUCUCUCUCUCUCUCUCUCUCUCUCUCUUUAUCUUUUUCUUCUGUCAGAAAAUUGUUUCCUGCUCUUAAUGUACCAUGUCAUCCAUUUACUUGUCAAUUCUUUCUUUAUUGAUGUUGGCAGGGCAGCUGGAUGGCCUUCUGUUUUGCAGGCCAUUGCUGCAGCUACAUUGUAUUUAUAAGGGUGGAAUAUAUGUGGGUUUCUUUGCACCAAGUCUGAGCCUCGGUUGAUCUUUUCAUCCCUCUUAUAUGAAAAGGUUAAAAUGUAUAGAACUUGCCUAAAUUAUGCGCCAUUUUGAAUUGGCUACCCAAUCUUUCAAAAUCUUUCAAAAUUUUGAUUUUGCUAUUUAGCCUUUCAAUAUGUUUGAUUUGAGUCAGUCAACUAUAUUUUGACUUCAAAAUUUAAGCUAAUUACUUUAAUGAAUGUAUAGUCGCGAGAAUUGCAUGAAGUAUGCUAGCUAAACCUGCAAAAAUAAAAGACGCAUUCAAAUUUUAAAGUUGAAGUGCUGUUGAUUGACUCGAAUUAAACAAAUUGAAAUGUUGGGUAGCAAAAUCAAAAUUUAAAAGAUUGGACAGUCAACUCAAAAUGAUCAAUAGUUUAUUGAAGGUCUGUAUGCUUUCACCAUAUAAAAACAUCUUGCUUGUUUGCUUUUCUUUUUUCUAUUUUAUUUUGGGGUUUUGGUUUGGUUCAUUGCAUUUAUUUUCUUAGUAUGUUGAUAUUGGCUUUGUAACACAAAUUGGUUUUUGACUUGUACUUCAGUUCUUCUUUCCUCUCCUUUUGCUGAGACAAUGAAGUUAUUAUUUGAAGCUUUUCUUAUUCUUUAACUUUUGUUCUUGAUAUUACCAGUUUAUUAAUUUGUAUUUGUUUCUUGUGAAUUCUUUGAUGAUCAUUUUAUAUUGUUGAACUUCAAAAUUAGGUCUCUAUUUUUCCCCCUUAAUUUCACUGAUUCUUUACAACCGAAACUGAGCAAAAGUUUCUUUCAAUAAUAAUAAUAAUAAUAAUGAUACAGCGUAAGAGCCUACGGGAUUUUUCUCAGCAAGAGAAGCUCUUCCCAGGAUUUAUCCACACGUGGGGCUGUGGUGCAGGGAAAUCGCAGCGUCAGUUUGGAGGGUCUCCAUGCAUUUUUACCUUACUCGCCUUAUUCUUGAGACAAAUGAUGCCUUGUUGUUGGCCUGAGAUGGAGGAGACUGCCAUAUCUGCUACUCUUGUCGGAUGAUGACUCUCUCUCUCUCUCUCUCUCUCUCUCUCUCUCAUAUUACCUGGACUGGUAUUUUGUGCAAGAUGAUGGCAAUGACGCACGACAUCUUUGUGACAUGCUCCAGAAGUCCUUCAAUUGCUGUUUGCCAGCCCAUGACUUGUUUUCUCUACCCUUGGGCGUGGUGUUAGACUGUUGUCUUGCUCUCUCUCUCUCUCUCUCUCUCUCUCUCUCUCUCAACAUUAUGCAUAGAUACAAGGGCCAAAAAAUUGAUAGUAGCAACAACUUGCUAUUAUCAAUAAUAUUGUAACUCUCUCUCUCUCUCUCUCUCUCUCUCUCUCUAUGUAUAUAUAUAUAUAUAUAUAGAACUAGGCUAGAAUACUAUUAAUAGCACCAAGUCAUUGGUGCUAUUAGGUUUUCGGCCCCUUGGAUAAAGGGAUGUGCGAAUGUGCGGUUAGCAUGAUUGUGAUCCUUGGGUUUAUUGAGUGGUUGGUGGAAUAGUAUGAUCUAAAGGGUGGAAAUGGUUAAAGAGGUAGAUCUAAUAGCGGAAAACCUGAUAGCACCAAGUGCUUGGUGCUAUUGAUAGUAUUGUAGCCGGACUCUGUGUGUGUGUGUGUGUGUGUGUGUGUUGUUUAUCUGAAAUAGUGUUGAUAGUAAGUGAAGGCUGUUUGCUAUUAACUUUUCAGCCCUUGGGUCAAUAUGAUUCCACCUACCACUGCUAAACACUAGGCAUCCGAGAGCUAAAAAGUAAACACUAAACCCUAAACCCUUCCUCUGUUCUUCUUUGCUCUCCCUUUUCCAAGGAAAUCAAGGUACUAAUUUGAAGCGUGGCUUUAUCUUUAUGUUUUUUCCUCAAUUCUAUUUGUUUAUUGGUUUGUAUUUGUUUUCUUUUGAUUUAUUGAUUUUUUUAUUUGAAUAAACUUCAAUUUUCCUCCCUGGUAUGGCAUAUUUUCAAUUUGGUGAAUUAGAAGUUACUGUUUCAUAUAUCUAAUUGCACUUUUUUCGUCACCUGGGGCAAAGUAAGUAUAUGUGAAUUUACAGAUUUUGCAGUGGUAUGAUUUUGUAGGAAUAUGUUUCUCUUUCUUUAAUGCCUAACUCUUUUUAGCAGGGGGUCUUCCAAAUGGCAUGGUUUCGUCAAUUUUUUUUGUUCUUUUCCUUUCUGGAGGCAAUGAUGAUAAACGCCACAUCACAGAGUCGAUAAAUGCUACUAAACAUCUGUAGUUUUUGGAAUUGCUACAUGCAAUGCAUUAUCUCUCUUCAUCUUUUUUUUUUUUUUCUUUUUCUUUGAAUAUGUGUGUAUAUAUAUAUAUUUCUUGCAUCCGGUGCACCACAUUUGUUUACAACCCAAUGAUAUGCUUGUUUCUUUGGCGAUGUUCGCUGGGCAGUUGGAUGGCCUUCCACCGUGCAGGCAACCCCUGCAGCGACUUCACCAUUGGUAGACUGGCGUAUAUGAUUUAUUUUACUUUCGGCGUUAAAUCUGAGCCUCCAUCGAUCUUUUUUCGUCCCCCAUUUGUGUUUCUAUCAACUGGAAGACAUAUUGCAAUUGUUCUGUUUCUUCUAUUUAUCUUUCUUGGUGUGAAUUGAUUGAUUUUGAAGUUUUGAUUUGAUUGUUAUCGAUCCUCUAUGGUGUGAUUGUUACAAAGUAGAUUUUUUCCCCCCUUUCUCAUGAAAAUUUUGUGAUGCCGGCUGCUAUGCUCGUCAGCUGUGAGCUACCUGCUGGUUGAGUUGCUUAUAUUGCGAGCAGUAAUGCAAAGUAUGCUGGAUUUUAUAUAGGUUGGAUGGCUUGUUGCUGUGCAGGCAACUGCUGUGGUUAUUGUUGCCUUUGGUCAAGCACUUGAACAUGGUGAUUGCUGAGGUGUUUGAAUCUAGUGUGGCAAAUAUGAGGUGAUUCUCAGUUUAUACCCCCUGUAUUUUCGUUUAGGGUGUGUUUGAUUACUCGUAAAAAUGGUCAGAAAACUCCUUUCAGUCUGAAAAUUUGUUUUCGUUCGUUUGUUGAGCUGUAAAAUUGUUUUCCUUGUAAAACUUUUUUACAUAUUAUUAUAACUGGGCCUUUUUGUUUUCCGCCAAAACUUCGUGGAAUUGUGGAAAACGUUUUGGCGGUAUUGUGGAAAACGAAAAGCUCUUGCUGCAAAAAAUAAAUAAAUAAAUAAAUAAAAACACCGGUGUGUAUAUGUGCACGGCAAUUAAAAGAUCAUGCGGUCCACCCACUAAGAAACCAAAUGUCUGAACCAAGUGCACCUACAAAUACUAGAGAUUAUUGUAUACUUGGUGUAUUCAUAUAUGUACACUAUUUUCAUCUAACAUUUUUUUAUAAAUAUAUGUCUAUUCCAUUUUGUAUACAGCAGUUGUUUAAAAUUUAAAAUUUGGGUAGUUAAAUUGGGAGUACGAAAUAAAUUGGUGGUCUUUUGAAGCUGGUUGUGUGAGUUCAUGGGUGUGCGAGAGGUGCACAAAUAAUUUUUUUUUUCUUGUGGAUCUCCCACCAACAGUGUAAUAGUAAUGUGUAUAGUAUGUGUAUAAAAUAAAAUGUAUAAUACUAUUUCUACGCUAUAUA